rnacentral:rRNA from 1 species
AUUAAACGCUGGCGGCAUGCCUUACACAUGCAAGUCGAACGGCAGCACGGGGGCAACCCUGGUGGCGAGUGGCGAACGGGUGAGUAACGCAUCGGAACGUGCCCUGGAGUGGGGGAUAACGUAGCGAAAGUUACGCUAAUACCGCAUAUUCUGUGAGCAGGAAAGCAGGGGAUCGCAAGACCUUGCGCUCUGGGAGCGGCCGAUGUCGGAUUAGCUAGUUGGUGGGGUAAAGGCCUACCAAGGCGACGAUCCGUAGCGGGUCUGAGAGGAUGAUCCGCCACACUGGGACUGAGACACGGCCCAGACUCCUACGGGAGGCAGCAGUGGGGAAUUUUGGACAAUGGGCGAAAGCCUGAUCCAGCCAUGCCGCGUGAGUGAAGAAGGCCU